rnacentral:rRNA from 1 species
GUGAGUCAUCGAGUCUUUGAACGCACCUUGCGCCCUUUGGUAUUCCGAAGGGCAUGCCUGUUUGAGUGUCAUUAAAUUAUCAACCUUGUUCGCUUUUACGAGCUUGAGCGAGGCUUGGAUGUGAGGGCUUGCUGGCUUCCUUCAGUGGAUGGUCUGCUCCCUUUAAAUGCAUUAGUGGGAUCUCUUGUGGACCGUCACUUGGUGUGAUAAUUAUCUAUGCCAUUUGACUGUGAAGCAAAAUUAUGGGAAACUGCUUAUAACCGUCUCGCAAGGGACAAUUUAAUUGACUAUUUGACCUCAAAUCAGGUAGGACUACCCGCUGAACUUAA